rnacentral:rRNA from 1 species
GAUUUUUUAAAUUGCUGUGGUAUUUUGACUAUACAAAGGUAUUGAAAUAAGAUUUUAAUUGAAUGCUAAGAGAAUGGAAUUUCAGAAAAAAGCUUUUUUUAAAUUAAAAAUUGAACUUUUUUUAAUCUGUGCAGAAACAAUUAUAAGUAUUAAGGACAAGAAGACCCUAUGAAUUUAUUAAACUUAUAUUAAUGUGUAAUUACUCUUUAAUAAGUUUUGGCUGGGGCGGCAAAAAAACAUUCAAAACUUUUUAAAAACAAAAUGACCCACUAUUAGUGAUUAUAUGUUAAAUACUCUAGGGAUAACAGCGUUAUAUUUUUUGAUAGUUCAUAUUGACAAAAAAGUUUGCGACCUCGAUGUUGGAUUAGGAUACUUUUUUAAUGCAGAUAAAAAA